rnacentral:rRNA from 1 species
UACAGAGGGGGCAAGCGUUGUUCGGAAUUAUUGGGCGUAAAGAGCUCGUAGGCGGUGUGUCGCGUCGGCCGUGAAAACCUGCAGCUUAACUGUGGGCUUGCGGUCGAUACGGGCAUCACUGGAGUUCGGCAGGGGAGACUGGAAUUCCUGGUGUAGCGGUGAAAUGCGCAGAUAUCAGGAGGAACACCGGUGGCGAAGGCGGUUCUCUGGGCAUUACCUGACGCUGAGGAGCGAAAGUGUGGGGAGCGAACAGG